rnacentral:rRNA from 1 species
UGGGGAAUAUUGCGCAAUGGGGGGAACCCUGACGCAGCCAUGCCGCGUGAAUGAAGAAGGCCUUAGGGUUGUAAAGUUCUUUCGGUAUUGAGGAAGGUUGAUGUGUUAAUAGCACAUCAAAUUGACGUUAAAUACAGAAGAAGCACCGGCUAACUCCGUGCCAGCAGCCGCGGUAAUACGGAGGGUGCGAGCGUUAAUCGGAAUAACUGGGCGUAAAGGGCACGCAGGCGGUUAUUUAAGUGAGGUGUGAAAGCCCUGGGCUUAACCUAGGAAUUGCAUUUCAGACUGGGUAACUAGAGUACUUUAGGGAGGGGUAGAAUUCCACGUGUAGCGGUGAAAUGCGUAGAGAUGUGGAGGAAUACCGAAGGCGAAGGCAGCCCCUUGGGAAUGUACUGACGCUCAUGUGCGAAAGCGUGGGGAGCAAACAGGAUUAGAUACCCUGGUAGUCCACGCUGUAAACGCUGUCGAUUUGGGGAUUGGGCUUAGAGCUUGGUGCCCGUAGCUAACGUGAUAAAUCGACCGCCUGGGGAGUACGGCCGCAAGGUUA